rnacentral:lncRNA from 1 species
CUCAAACACUCAAAAAAAGAAAUCUAGCACUGAACAAACUGGUAUGAAAUAUAACAAAAUAUGAUUCAAAGAUAUUCAUUAAGUAAUGAUAAUAUAUCUGUUUAGUAUUAGUCUGCACCAAGUGACAUUUCUUAGUCAUUAUAUAUCAUGCAGGAGAAAUCGAUCAAAUACUGUGGGUUACUAUUGAAUAUUUAGUUGCAAUAAACAUUUAAUUCUUUAAUGUUCUUUCUUCGUACAAAUCGAAAGUUGCUAAACAAACUGAAGACAGCAAUUCAACUUCUGAUAACUUUCUCUCUCUCAAAUUUCCUUUUAUCAUUAUUAACACAGGGCUCAAAUCAUUUAACAAUAAAAAAAUAUAUAACUGAGAAAAAAGUUCUGUAAAGCAGAUUUUUUGUUUUGUAUAACAUUCUAUCAAAUUAAUGAUCUGGAGUCGAUUUCACAAAAAAAAAAACUUAUGACUAAGAUUGGUCGAAAGUAUACUGAUUUCUUCAUGACUUAAGACCAAUCUUAGUCGUAAGUUUUUUUAAGGGAAACUGACUCCUGUUCUAAAAUUAUGUUUUAAACUUGUGUUAUUAUUUUCUAUCUCAAACAACAAGAGUGAGAAUGUUUUUUUCUCUGUCAGGUAGAGUGAAUUUUAGAAAACAGGGCUGGACUAAGAAAAUUUAUCAAAAUAUAAAAAAGAUGUGGUAUGAUUGCCAAUGAGACAACUAUCCACAAAAGAUCAAAAUGACACAGACAUUAACAACUAUAGGUCACGCUACGGCCUUCAACAAUGAGCAAAGCCCAUACCGCAUAGUGAGCUAUAAAAGGCCCCGAUAAGCCAAUGUAAAACAAUUCAAACGAGAAAACUAACGGCCUUAUUUUAUGUAAAAAAAAUGAACGAAAAACAAAUAUGUAACACAUAAACAAACGACAACCACUGAAAUACAGGCUCCUGACUUGGGACAGGCACAUACAUAAAUAAUGUUGCGGGUUUAAACAGGUUAGCAGGAUCCAAAAAAAAGUACCAGGAUUACAAUUUAGUACGCAAGACGCGCGUUUCGUCACAUAAGACUCAUCAGUGACACUCAUGUCAAAAUAUCUAUAAGCCAAACAAGUACAAAGUUGAAGUGCAUUGAGGAUCCAAAAUUCCAAAAAGUUGUGCCAAAUACGGCUAAGGUAAUCUAUGCCUGGGAGAAGAAAAUCCUUAGUUUUUCGAAAAAAUCAAAGUUUUGUAAACAGGAAAUUUAUAAAAAUGACCAUAGUAUUGAUAUUCAUGUCGACACCGAAGUGUUGACUACUGGGCUGGUUAUACAUUCAGGAACGAAACGUCCAACAGCAGAGGCAACGACCCAGUGUUGUAAAAACUACUAACAGACAACAGUGUAUGUUUGCUCUAUCAACUGGAGGAAUUUCUCUGCCUUUGAUGGGAUUGUAGACAACAAACUUCCUCUGGUUUUCAAAACCAUCGAUUAUCUUUAUAUAUUUCAUACUUUAUAUGUUUCUGAUGAUAUAUCUAUAAGUGUUCAGUAAACAAUAAUGAUGUAUGUAAACAAAAAUGUAAUGAAGCAUUAAAUAAAUAGUCAUCAAACCAAACAAAACUGAAGAAGUCUAAAUCAAGAUUUGAAAUUAACAGAACUGUAAUAAACGUUAUCUAUAAAUAAUUAAUGUAAUACUGCACAUAAAAUAGAAUACAAAUAUAACAAGUUUUAAAUAAAAAUCACAUGUAAAAAGAACAUAAUCAGAUACAUCAGACUGAAUAUUAAUUCAAAACUAAUUAGGAUCUUCAGUUAGACAUGGUACUUCAUAAAAAACUCAAUCAUGGGGGAAAUCCCAAAUAUAAAACAUUUAUGGCAAAUUAUGGAAUAAUUUGAAGUUAUCAAUAAAACAUUGAAAAUAACAAUUUAUAAUAACUCAAAUUCUCAAAGGAAUUUUGAUAUUGUUUCACUUAAUAACAUAUUGUGUGGUAUGAUUGCCAAUGAAAUAUAAACUAUCCAUGAAAUACCAAAGGACCAAGAUAGAAAAACUAACGCGUUAAUGAGUGGACUUUAACAAUAAGAAAAACCCAUGCUAUAAGGUAGCACAAUACAAAGAUUUUUUUACUUCCAAUCACUAACCUUUAAAAUGCUGAAACUUUCUUAUGAAUGCAUAAAAAAUGAUAAAAGAGGUAUAUAUAGAUAGAUCAAAGAUUAAUCUUUUAAAUGAAUGCAAUAUUUGUAUUAUGCAAUCAUUAUGUAAUCAAUUAUUAUGUAAUUAGUGGCAAAAUCUCGGUCAGUUCACUUGAAUGAAUUUAGCUCUAUCAUCUCUUUAACUAUACAGAAAGUUUCAACGAAAUCUUAAUCAACACAUCAUAGGCUUCAAAAGGGUGUCUCAAAUUGUCCCUAUGGUAUUCCUUUCUCUCCUAAAUUUCUAAUUAGUGUACACAUCCUAUCCACAUAAAAGAAGAUAAUGUUUAAUUAGGUGUAAAUUUUGAUUCAUACAUUCUAUCUGAAAUUUGAGACACCAUUUUGUAGAUAAUGGCCAUAGGAACAACAUGUUAUACAAUUAACCCUCUAGGGACACCUAUGCCGAAGCUAAUUUCAUUUGAAAGUGGAAAUUUGGUGAAAAAUAUUUUAGACACAGUUAACAUAAUAAUUGGUUACAUAAUUGUUGCAUAAUACUAACAUUGCAUUAAUUUGAAAGAGUAAUCUGUUAGCUAUCCAAAACUACCACUUAUAUAAAGUUUCAAGCAUUAUUAAGAUGUUACAGCAUUUUAAAACUUGGGAGUUGGAGUUAUAAAAUCUUUGUAUUGUGCUACCUUGAAGUAAGCUCUAAAAGGAUCUAGGAUGACAAAAUUUGAAAACAAUAAUACAUUUACUCCAAAAACACAGUUACUAAAUAAACUCAUCAUAAAUACCAGGAUUGAAUUUUUAUAUUUCAGACGGACCCUAUUUCGUCUAUAAAAGACUCAUUGGUAAUGCUCAAAUAAAAGAAUGAUAAAGGCCAAAAGAAAUUCGAAAUGUAAAACCAUUGGGGACCAAAAAUUCCUAAUUAAACAAGAAUUUCUGAAUUGGAGUUCUGCAAAUAUUCCCUUGUUAACAUUGAAUUAUACAGCCACAAAAUACAUUUAACUAAGAUCAAAUAUUAAACCUACAUCACCAAUCAAAAGUCAAAAGAUGCCACAAGGAAGAAUAUAAAAAAAAUUCAAAGGCCUUUAUGCAGAAACAAUUGUGUGUUCAUUUUAAAAUGAGAUAUUUGAUCAACUAACAAAACUUUGAGGCUAAUCGAUUAGAUUUCAGGAAAUGCUGCAACUCAAGUAAAAGAAUUCUGUCAGAACUAAUACAAAACAGAGUUUUAAUUAAUGGGAUCACU